UGUACCUUACGAAUAAGGAUCGGCUAACUCUGUGCCAGCAGCCGCGGUAACACGUAGGAGGCAAACGUUAUCCGGAUUCACUGGGCGUAAAGCGCGUGUAGGUGGUUCUGUAAGUAGGGCGUGAAAGCUCCCGGCUCAACUGGGAGAGGCCGUACUAAACUGCAGAGCUAGAGGAUGGUAGAGGGAGGUGGAAUUCCAGGUGUAGUGGUGAAAUGCGCAGAUAUCUGGAGGAACACCAGUGGCGAAGGCGGCCUCCUGGACCAUUCCUGACACUCAGACGCGAAAGCUAGGGUAGCAAACAGAAUUAGAGACUCCGGUAGUCCUAGCCCUAAACGAUGCAGACUAGGCGUCGGCGGUUUAAUCACCGUCGGUGUCCAAGCUAACGCGAUAAGUCUGCCGCCUGAGGACUACGGCCGCAAGGCUAAAACUCAAAGGAAUAGACGGGUCCCCGCACAAGCAGCGGAGCGUGUGGUUUAAUUCGAUGCUCCGCGAAGAACCUUACCUGGGUUUGACAUAACAGUGGUAGGGAAGUGAAAACGGAUCGACCCUUCGGGGAGCUGUUACAGGUGUUGCAUGCCUGUCGUCAGCUCGUGUCGUGAGAUGUUCGGUUAAGUCCGCUAACGAGCGCAACCCGCGCUGUGUGUUACAAGUGUCACACAGUACCGCCGGUAUUAAGUCGGAGGAAGGUGCGGAUGACGUCAAGUCAGCAUGACCUUUAUAUCCAGGGCUACACACACGCUACAAUGGUCAGAACAAUAGGUUGCCAAGCCGCAAGGCGGAGCCAAUCCUCCAAAUCUGGCCUCAGUUCAGAUUGCAGGCUGCAACUCGCCUGCAUGAAGUCGGAGUUGCUAGUAACCGCAGGUCAGCAUACUGCGGUGAAUAAAAUCCCGGGGAUUGUACACACCGCCCGU
rnacentral:rRNA from 1 species